rnacentral:misc_RNA from 1 species
GAACGCAAAUUGCACUCUCUGGUAUUCCGGAGAGUAUGCCUGUUUGAGGGUCAGUUAAAUAAAAAUCGGUGUUGUUGCUACCUUGCGUGGUGAUGCAUCGGAUUUGGGUCGUCUUACCUUUGGUUAAGUGACCUAAAAUUUUGCAUGAUUUUUCGAACGUAUUUAAAUUAUUUACGUACGUUUGUGAUAUCGAAUAUUAGGAGUGGUCAUUCUCAUGAUUCGCGCCUAUAAUUUUUCAUCAAAAUGACCUCAAAUCAGGUAAGAGUACCCGCUGAACUUAAGC